AGAAUAGGCCAAGUGGCGCUGUAUCCUAGUCGGAACUGCCGAUUACCAGGAAGGGCCUAAAAAUCCUUUGAAGGGCAUAUCGAUGAAGUCCCUGGUGCUUGCUUGUUACGCCCAGUUUCGGGUGGGUGCUGGGGGUUAAGGUUCCCGGGCGGCUCUCAAUGGCAUGGGAGUAGCGACCCGGUUACCGUGGAGACCUGUUUCUGUGCGGCCGCCGCACGAUUCUUUGUGGACCAGGACGGCGUACGGGACAGGAGAUGAACCUGCAUUGCGGUGUCGUGACGAUGCUGUGUGCAGCGUAGCCUGCCUUGCGUGGGUGCGUGGGGAAAGAGGAGCCAUGCGACCGACUUUGUGGCCACAUCGAUCGGACGAUAUUCUCUGGAAACCACAUCUGCAAAAGAGGCUAAGAAUCGGCAGAUUUUCGGGGUGGAAAACACCUAGGCAGUCGAAAGGGUCGGCCGGGGAUUACAGUGCGGACUCAGUGGCAAUCGGGUACUGCGUACGGGCAACGGCGCAGCACGGAGAGUAAAAGGGAACUGCCCAUCCGGCAACGGUGGGUUCUCCGCGGGGAAAGCCAACCCGACCUAAGCCGCAAGAUUUACCCGGUCGACCGCCAUGAUUUCAA
rnacentral:sRNA from 1 species